UGGUCACGUGGUAGUGUGUAAUAAAUAUCCGAAUGAAUGAAGACGGCAUCAUUUAGAAGCAACUCACACUGAAGAAACGAAGUUAGUUCACAUUACUGAUAUCAAGAUGAAGGCCGUUUUUCUUCCUUGUAUCAUGCUGUUAAUAGGGUUGUCCCUAACAAGUGCCGAAGGAAAUAUCUGUCUCCUACCCAAGAAAAUCGGCUACUGUCGUGCUCAUAUUCCACGAUUCUACUUCAACUCUCAAUCUGGACGUUGCGAGAUGUUUUAUUACGGCGGAUGUAGAGGAAAUGAGAACAACUUUUUCACGUUGCGUGACUGCCAAGGCACGUGCAUGUAACACAGCAAGUGAUGAAAGUAUUCAGUAUUCAAGACAAGAUUCCAUAACAAUGAAGAUUGUAAAUAAAAAAUGAUAAAAAAAUCA